rnacentral:rRNA from 1 species
AAUCAACGCUGGCGGCGUGCCUCAGACAUGCAAGUCGAACGAUUAAAGCUCCCUUCGGGGAGUGCAUAAAGUGGGCGCACGGGUGAGUAACACGUAAGUAAUCUACCUUCGAGUGGGGAAUAACGUUCGGAAACGAACGCUAAUACCGCAUAAUGCAGCGGCAUCUAUGAUGACAGUUGUUAAAGAUUUAUCGCUUGAAGAGGAGCUUGCGGCAGAUUAGCAGUUGGUAAGGUAAUGGCUUACCAAGGCUACGAUCUGUAUCCGGUCUAAGAGGACGGUCGGACACACUGACACUGAAUAACGGGUUCAGACUCCUACGGGAGGCAGCAGUCGGGAAUUUUGGGCAAUGGGCGAAAGCCUGACCCAGC